rnacentral:pre_miRNA from 1 species
UUCCUACUCCCUCCAUUCGGAAUUACUUGUCGUAGAAAUGGAUGUAUCUAGACAUUUUUUAGUUCUAAAUACAUCCAUUUCUGCGACAAGUAAUUCGGAACGGGGGGAGUAUUUU